rnacentral:rRNA from 1 species
CCAGACUCCUACGGGAGGCAGCAGUGGGGGAUAUUGCACAAUGGGCGCAAGCCUGAUGCAGCGACGCCGCGUGAGCGAAGAAGUAUCUCGGUAUGUAAAGCUCUAUCAGCAGGGAAGAAAAUGACGGUACCUGAAGAAGAAGCCCCGGCUAACUACGUGCCAGCAGCCGCGGUAAUACGUGGGGGGCAAGCGUUAUCCGGAUUUACUGGGUGUAAAGGGAGCGUAGGCGGCCUGCCAAGUCUGAUGUGAAAUACCGGGGCUCAACCCCGGGGCUGCAUUGGAAACUGGCAGGCUGGAGUGUCGGAGAGGCAGGCGGAAUUCCUAGUGUAGCGGUGAAAUGCGUAGAUAUUAGGAGGAACACCAGUGGCGAAGGCGGCUUACUGGACUGUAACUGACGUUGAGGCUCGAAAGCGUGGGGAGCAAACAGGAUUAGAUACCCGAGUA